rnacentral:rRNA from 1 species
UUAUUUGAGAGUUUGAUCCUGGCUCAGGAUGAACGCUGGCGGCGUGCCUAACACAUGCAAGUUGAGCGAUUUACUUCGGUAAAGAGCGGCGGACGGGUGAGUAACGCGUGGGUAACCUACCCUGUACACACGGAUAACAUACCGAAAGGUAUGCUAAUACGGGAUAAUAUAUUUGAGAGGCAUCUCUUAAAUAUCAAAGGUGAGCCGGUACAGGAUGGACCCGCGUCUGAUUAGCUAGUUGGUAAGGUAACGGCUUACCAAGGCGACGAUCAGUAGCCGACCUGAGAGGGUGAUCGGCCACAUUGGAACUGAGACACGGUCCAAACUCCUACGGGAGGCAGCAGUGGGGAAUAUUGCACAAUGGGCGAAAGCCUGAUGCAGCAACGCCGCGUGAGUGAUGAAGGCCUUCGGGUCGUAAAACUCUGUCCUCAAGGAAGAUAAUGACGGUACUUGAGGAGGAAGCCCCGGCUAACUACGUGCCAGCAGCCGCGGUAAUACGUAGGGGGCUAGCGUUAUCCGGAUUUACUGGGCGUAAAGGGUGCGUAGG